rnacentral:rRNA from 1 species
CCCUUAGAUGCCCUGGGCCGCACGCGCGUUACACUGAUGCAUUCAACGAGCUUAUAACCUUGGCCGAGAGGCCUGGGCAAUCUUGUUAACGUGCAUCGUGAUAGGGAUAGAUUAUUGAAAUUAUUAAUCUUGAACGAGGAAUUCCUAGUAAACGCAGAUCAUCAAUCUGCAUUGAUUACGUCCCUGCCCUUUGUACACACCGCCCGUCACACCUACCGAUUGGAUGGUCCGGUGAAGCCUCGGGAUUGUGGUUCUUGCCGCUUUAUUGUGGCGUGACCGCGAGAACUUGUCUAAACCUUAUCAUCUAGAGGAAGGUGAAGUCGUAACA